GAUCACCCUUUUCUCUCUCUUCUCUGAAACUAAAGUGCCUUAACCUUUGGAAUCAGCUAUAAUUUUAACACCUACAUUCAGUAUAUAAUUAUGGCAGGGUGGCUGAUGUAUAAUGUAUGAGCUAGAAUAAAACUUCAAUUAAACUAGAAUUUGUCAAGUUUGGAUUUAAUUUUAUUUUGAUCUUCUUGAAGAAAGUAAUUGGAAACCCAAGCUAGUCUUUUGCAGGUUCCAUUCUUUUUAGUCGAGUGGACUCAACUGAGAGAGAGGAUUUUAAUUUCCAUGUUGUUAGGAAAAUACUUGAGAUUAUAACCUACUUAUCAGAAGCAGUUUACAAUUGGUAAUCACUGUGAUUGGCUACUUUCUGAGAAUGGAUUUGGUUGCCUCUGUAUACCUUUGAUCAUGCCACUCUCUGAGAAUGGGGAUGAUUGAUUAUUCUAUUAUUUGACUGACCAAAACCAUGACAGGUGAUGACAUAUAUGUGCCUUUAUAGGUCUCUGGAAUAAUGACAAUUAUAAUUAAAUCAAAAGGGAACUUUCACAAAUGACUGUUUCAAGACUGAUGUAGAAAACUUUUAAGAGAUGUGUAUGUGUUUCUGUUUAACUAAAGGGAUUUGGACCAGGUAAAGAAUCCCCUGACAGUGUUAAACCACACAAUAAAUUAUAGUGCGCUGUCUUCUGCAGCUUCAUGUGAGUGAUAGGAGCAUAUUGACAGUGAAAUUGAGCCCAUGGGAUGUGAAUGUGAUAACAGGGCUCCUUAUAGUAAGAUCUUGUGAUUGCAACAUUUUAAAUAGCCUUUUUAAUUACCUUUGGCUCUCUUCCUUUACGAAUCUCCUCUUUCCUUUUGUCCCAAUAGGAAAAUAUUAUCACAAAAUGAGGAAUAUUCCAGAGAAAAGGAAACAAAUAAAAGACCUUAAAAAAAAACCCAAUAAAUUAGCACUUAAUGCUCCAAAUACAGUGAUGCCCAUCCUCCUUUGUUAUUUAAAAUUAGUUAACCUUGUAUUUGACUACCAGUUCAGCACAAAUAAUCACCUCACUUUGGUGCUUUUGGUGUUCGUCAAUCCACUGCAAAUGAAAUCCAACCUAAAUUUUUAAGUAAAUGCAAAUUUCCAUCAACUUGCAGAAAGUGUAGGCUCAUUUAGCGUAAAUGAAAUUGGGUUUUAAGCAACAUCAUGGAUGUUCUCCUUUGCUAGUUUAGUCACUUUAGUGGGCAGUGGAAGCCCAAGGAUAUUAACGUAAAGCAAAUCAAACAUGACAGUUUCCACUCUGUUUUAUGCUGCUGUUUAAAGCCUCAAAAUAAUAUCCUUUAGAUUUCGGCAAAGACAAUCCUCUUGAGAACGUUACUGUGUGUGUAUAAGGAGAGGUGACCUUUCUGGGAUAUUCACUCUCAAUAUUUGAGCAUCUAACACAUAACACAAAAAUAUCCCCUGCCAGCCCACUAUCAUCCCCUGCAAAUUCCCCUCCAGAGAUUUGCCAGAUCAUAAAGGGAAGCAGUGGUGCUGAAAGUCAGUGAUGAGAAAGCUCCUUGGGCCUCUUAGGCACACCAGCUUAAAAACAUGGCUGUUUUCUGCAGUCUCGGAUGUGCAAGAGACAGCAGCCCUUCUCCAUCUUGACCAGACCAGGAUGCCAAUAAUGGUUGGAAAUCACAUUAAUCAAGUUCUCUUACUAGCUAGGAGUCUUUUUCCAGCAUUUCAACACUCAGUUGGGUACAGGAGUUACCCAGUCCGGGUUCAUAGCCAUGUGUCCAGUCUGUCCCCCAAAUGAAAUGAAAGACGUUUGGGGAGGAAAAUAAAAGCCGGCCCCUGGGAUGUUUCUAAGAAGCCAUGGAGAGCAUGACAUGACCUAGGAAAGUUUAGAUUGAUGUUCCCGUAGACAGGUUCACAAUCUGUUGCUCAGAAUUCUCUUGGCUACUCUUGACUUUUCCUGAUAAGUUAAUAGAAGUAAAGCCCCUUUGCACUCAUUUGUCUGGACUCCUGGCUAAAGUUUUGGUUUAAGAUCAACAUUUCAAAGUCUUUUCCUGUUUCUGAAGUUGCUUUGGAUCUGGUUCUAAGAGAGACAACAUGUUGUAGCCUGGCCCCCAAGCCCCUGCCAGAGAAUGUAGGAUAGUCUAAACAUGUUGUUUAUGUUUUCAUAAUAGAAUAUUUCUGUUAGAGAAUGAUGAGGUAGAAGGGCUUGGAAAUGGCCGUGGGGUUGAGCCUAAGCUGUGCCACUUUCUAACUUGGUGACAUUGGGUGUCUGCUUUCCUCCUGCCUAAGGUAAUUCAGUGAGAUGCUGUGGAGACACCAGGUAACUGUUCAUCUCCUUAAAGUAGGAGAAGUGUCUGUUGGGCUGGGCUGGGAGCCAGGAGGCCUAGACUUCAUUUUGGCCCCAGAGAACUCACUCUGGGUCUUGGAGAACCCACUUCAAAUCUAUGGAUUUUGCUUAUUUCAUUGUCAAAAUGAGAGGUGGGGAUUGGCAACCCUGAUCAUCAGGUGACCUGAUCCACCCUGCUUGCAAAGUUAAGUUUCCAUGUCUUCAGUGUUCGCCAGUGGGUAGGGGUGAGGGUUGGGCAGCACAGGUUUUGGAAUCAGUAGCUUUUGAGUUCAAGUUCCAGCCUCACUACUUUCUAGCAAAACGGUGGUGUAGUGGGCGGCUAGCCAGCUAACAUCUCCUUGCUACCAUUCCUCCAAUGUAAAAUGGACAUUGCAAUGGGAUUUUCCUACAAGGCCGAUGUGGGGAUAUAAAGGCAAAGUGCUUAGCACAGCCUGGCAUGAAGUAAAUGCUAUAUUAGUCCCUCAGGUUCGCCUUAACAGAUUACCACAAAUGUAGAAGCUGAAAGCAGCACACAUUUAUUCCCUCACAUUUCUCUAGCUUAGACGUCUGACAGGGACUAGAAUCAAGGUGUCAGCGGGGCUGUGUUCCCUUCUGGAACCUUUUAUGGGCUGGAUUGUGUUCCCCUAAAUUCAUGUCAUGAAGUCCUAAUCUCUGGUACCUCAGAAUGUACUUAGGUUAGAAGAUAAGGUCUUUAAAGAAGUGAUGAAUUAAAGCAAGACCUUUAGGGUAAAUCCUAUUUUCUAAUCCAGUCUAACAGAUGUGCUUAUUUGGACACAGAGACACACCAGGGACAUGUGUGCACAUGGGGGCAGGGGGGUGAGGACAGUGGACUAUGUCAAUGCACAAAAAGAAGGUAACAUCUGGGAGUUCCCAUCGUGGCUCAGCAGUUGGUGAACCUGACUAGCAUCCAUAAGGAUGCCAGUUCAAUCCCUGGCCUCACUCAGUGAGUUAAGGAUCGGCAUUGCAGAGAGCUGUGGUGUAGGUCACAGACGCAGCUUGGAUCCUGCAUUGCUGUGGCCCUGGCGUAGGCUGGUGGCUGCAGGAAGAUAACAUCUUUAAGCCAAGGAAAGAGGCCUUUGGAGAAACCAAACUUGCUGACAUCUUGAUCUUGGACUUCCAGGCUUCAGAACCAUGAGCAAAUAAGUAUCUGUUGUUGAAAUCACCCAGUCUAUGGAAUUUGUUAGGCAACCCCAGCAAACUGAUACACAGCCUUUAGGGGAGAAAGCAUUUCUUUGCUCUUUCCAGCUUCUACAGCUGGCUUGGCUUGUGGCCUUUCUUGUUCCAAGGCCAUGGCAACAGAAGGUCAAGUUCAUCUCACUCAGACCUCUCUUCUGCCUCCCUCUGUCACUUUUAAGGACUUUUGUGACUACAUUGUAGCUACCUGUUUCCAUCUUAAAGUCAAUGAUUAUCAACCUCAAUUCCACAUGCAAAGUUAAUUCCUCCUUGUCUUGUAACAUAACACAUUCAUAGGCUUUGGGAUGAGUAUGCGGACAUCUUUGGGAGAUCAUUAUCUUGCUUUCCACAAUGUCCAGUCAGUUUUAGCUAUUGUGUGGAAUGGAAUGUUUGCACCAGCUUAGCUUACUUUACUGACUCUAGCACUGGAAUGGAAAUUACCAAACACAAAAUUAAAUUUCACUGAGUGGAAACUGGGGAAUUAUGCUCAUUUUGGGGUUUGUCUUUGCCUCCUUCAAGAUAGCAUAAGCUUCUGCCGACCCCAGGACUCCUAGCGCACAGAAUUUGUGACAUUCCAAUGAGCUGAAGUUCUGAUUCAGCUGGUAUUUCUAGCAAAUUGUUGACCUGACAUUAUUUAUUUAGGGGUUUUCUGGUUGUGAUAGAAUGGUAAUUCAGAUCAAGAUUUGUCAUGUCCUUUCCAACAGAUCUGCUUGUUUUAUCUUUAGAAAAGGAAGUUUAAGUAUUUAAGGGGGGAACCAAGGUUGUGAGGUUUCCCCUGUAAUAUCAGCCUCCAUGUCUUUGGAGAAACAAAAAACUCAGAGCAGAAAACCUGAUAAUUGUAUCCUUCAAAUGCAUAUUUCAGGCACAAAUGACAUUGAAACCCAACUAAAAGUGUUGGUAAACUGAGAUGGGAAUUUAAGAACUCAUGCAACCACAAAGCCUUAGAGUGGAUCUGACACUGAGCUUGGCUCAACCCAGAGAUUUCAUAGUGUCCUGAAGACAAGGAGUCUCUCCCAGAUCUCAGUACUUUGCUUUCAUCUACACUGGCCUCACUCCUGGGAGGGACCUCCUCACUCUGUGGGGAGGGGGCCUCAUUCCAGGGGAGGGGCCUCACUCUGGGGGAGGGGUCUUUCGGUACACCCGGCCCUGGCAACUCCCGCAGCUUAGAUGAGCCUUAUGGCCAGCAAAUCCACUGCAAAAAGAGCUCUUCCUUUCUUAAAACCCAAGAAUAUCCCCAGAGUUGAGUUUUCCUGGUUCGGUUUAAGUCAUGGGUCCUUCUCUAAACCAAUCAGUCUGGCCAAGAGACAUAGUGCAAUGUUUAGCCAGGCUGAGGUCACUGCCACCCUGGAACCCUAGUGACUGAAGGAGACAUCAGCUUCACUGCAAAGAGACUGAUGGGGAAUAAGGAGAAAUGGUUCCCCAGGAAAAUCAAGGUAGGAUUUCCAGAAAAAAACGCACUGGGUAUGUACACAAAAAUAACCAAUGUCCACUCUCAGGUGAGGUUUUGUUAUUACUCUGGGGAAUGGAGCUUCUUAUGUGUGUUCUCUGUCUUAUUAGGGCACCAGGCAUCUCCUGCUGGAUGCUGGUGGGCCCACCCGGAAAUUUAUCAGUUAUAUAUAAGUGGCCAAAGGCUUCCCUGAGAAGAGCACAGGUUCUGCUUAGAAUGAAGCAGAAGCGGGAGGGAGGAUCCGUGACUCCAGGUAUUCAUAGUACUCAGGAAUGGGGUGGGCUGAGGGUUCCCCAUGAAGCUGGGGUUCCAGUGGCUUGAACUUCCCUGCCAGGGGCAUGGGAAGGAAUGCCCAGAUGUAGGGUGAGCUGUAACAGGGAUGGAGGAGGCUUGAAAGUAAUUAGCAGUAAAACCCCAAAAAUGGACUCUUGCUUACAAUUUCUUACUCUACUUGGAGGAGAAAACUCACACAAGUCAGGGGUUCAAAAUCCUACCUACUCCAAACAAGUCUUGCCUCCCUGGCAUUUUUUUUUUCUGAUCAGUGUUGAAAACAGAUAGUGUGAAAUCUCCAAGCUGUGUGCUCUGAUUGGGUCCUAUGAAGCACAUCAGAAACAGACAUGCUCUGCUUUAUGGGUUUCAAUUAAUAACAACAACGUUGUAUCUUUUCUCAGAAAAAAAUGACUAUGGAGAUAAUGGACUAGAUACAACCGAGCCUGGGAAGCUGUACUCUGGGGAUGGUGCUGGGGUUGAUGGUAAUACAAAGAUGAAUAUGGUAUCCUUUGUUCUACAAGGAGCAGGUGAGGUAGUGGCUGACAUCGGGGCACAAAUUCUAAGAGCCGCGGUGUGGUGGGUUCUCCAGGUCAUAUACAGGUGCUGUGGGAGGCGGCUACAGGCAUUAUUUCUGACUGAGAGGAUGUAUUGCUACCAGGGAAUGCUUUACAGAGGUGAUGUUUGACAGGAUCCUGGAAAUACUGGAAGGAUAUUUAGGGUCUGAGACUCGGAUGUGUAUAGAAAAGACAGGUAAAGCAUAGCAUCAGUUAUAUGGGUAAACAGAGGAUGGAGGGAUGCAUCAAUAUCAAAGUAGUGAUUUCCCAGGGUGGAUGGAGGUAGAUCCUGUCCUCUUGACCAGGAGGGGCCAUGAGGGAGCCUUCGGAGGCCAGAGAGGGGGCUAGAAAGGUAAGUACUGGGGUGCAUGUAUGUAAACAUUCAAAAUCUGACAUUUCAGAUUUGUCACUUUACUAUAUGUGCAUUCUACCUGAAUAAAAGGGAAAAGGACAGAAAGGAAGAACAUCCUAGUAAAAAUCACAUGUGGGUACAUGUGGUAGGCUGAAAAAUGGCCCCUGAAAAAUGUCCACAUCCUGGUCCCUGGAACUUGCUCAUAUGUGGUAUUGGUAUUGCAAGGUGGGAGACACUUUACAGAUUGUGGUUACAUUGAGGAUCUUGGGAGUUGCCAUUGUGGCUCAGUGGAAACAAAUCUGACUAGUAUCCAUGAGGACACAGGUUCAAUCCUUGGCCUUGCCCAGUGGGUUAAGGAUCUGGCAUUACCAUGAGCUGUGGCGUAGGUCUUAGAUGCAGCUUGGAUCUGGUGUUGCUGUGGCUGUGACAUAGGCCAGCGGCUACAGCUGUGAUUCAACCCCUAGCCUGGGAACUUCCAUAUGACUAG
rnacentral:lncRNA from 1 species